UACGUAGGGUGCGAGCGUUGUCCGGAAUUAUUGGGCGUAAAGAGCUCGUAGGCGGUUUGUCGCGUCGGCUGUGAAAUCCCGAGGCUCAACCUCGGGUCUGCAGUCGAUACGGGCAAACUAGAGUAUUGCAGGGGAGACUGGAAUUCCUGGUGUAGCGGUGAAAUGCGCAGAUAUCAGGAGGAACACCGGUGGCGAAGGCGGGUCUCUGGGCCGAUACUGACGCUGAGGAGCGAAAGCGUGGGGAGCGAACAGG
rnacentral:rRNA from 1 species